GUACCCUCAAGCUUUGCUUGGUGUUGGGCGUUUUGUCUUUUUUAUCAAGACUCGCCUUAAAGUAAUUGGCAGCCAGUGUUUUGGUAGUAAGCGCAGCACAUUUUGCGUCUUAGUUCUUUAACAACGGCAUCCAUAAAGCCUCUUUCUCAC
rnacentral:misc_RNA from 1 species